CUUGUGCAAGCCUUGACAUGGAUUGUGACAGAAUCGGGCCCAAUAUGAACUUCACGUGGAAGAAUCGAUUUCAAAACCUGUGUAAAAGGUAAUGUGAAUGGCCCCUGUGUGUGUAUAGGGCUAUAUGUUAGUAAAAAUCCAGAUACACUCCAGUUCAUUUUAAAUUCACUGGGAAGUAUUUCAGUGCUACAAACAAAUGAACCUACACACUAUCUGCUUGCACCAAGUAUAUUGUGCAUUUUAGUUGGCCAAUAAAGGUAUCGCUGUUUGGUGGAUUUUUGUUUGAAUUUGCUAAAUGGCCAACACAGCUACCCUGCAUGUUUUCUACACACUGUCUGUCACUUUUGGUACAAUCUGUAUUGGUUCAGGUUGAUUCAGUAUGGUUACAUUUAUGUUAUAUACCCUGUUUUGUGUUGCUGUUGAACUUAUUCUAUUAACAGAUUUCUCCUCUUCCUCCCAUUUUCUCAGUAUGUGCCAUCAUGAUACUUCACAAAACAGAGUCAAUCUCCCGCCAUUUCAGUUAUCCCCUCCCUUUCCAUAGAAACAUAAUUGAUAAUGACUGCGAAACAGCAAGUUAAGAAUUGAAAGAGCUCUGGGAGAUUAUCUGUAAUUAACUUUAUCAAGCUUUGAGCAAGAGAUUUUGCAAUGAAUUUGCACUAAACAGACAGGAAAGCAAAAGCUCACAUAUAAAGUUUUGUAUAUGGCAAGUGGUGUUUGUAUGAUCAGUAGAAGAGCUGUAUGCAUGCAGAUCAAACAAGCGAGCUGUGUUAUGGUUUCUCUUUCUUUGUGUCUGAUGGAAUAGAGACUGUGGCUUUUUGCUUUCAUGUAUUUUUAUAUACAGUGUUACAGAUAUUUCCAGCCUGCAUUUGGAUUGUCUUCAAGUUCUGUUAAUCAUGUUUCAGUGGAGAUAGGCUUCCAACUUUAGGCCAAGAUCCAGAGAACCACAGGCUAUUUCUUUGCACCCAAGGAAGUUUCAUACACACACACACACACACACACACACACAUUGGAAAAGUUGAUGUGCUUUUGCAGUUAUGCAAAGUGCUUUUGAAACUGAAGCAUUUUCAAAAGCAGUAUGUGACAUGUCAUGGGGAUAGACUGUUCAAAUGAAAGAAGCAAAAUUUUCUGAUGAAAAUGCACUAGCCUUUGGAUUAAUCUAAACAACUAUUUGAAUUCUGGCUUUAGAUCUAAAAGAGAAUGUGGCUUCUACUUCCUGGGCAGUUAAAUGUAUCCUUGUCUUUUUAAUAACAUGAUACAGUUCUAUUUGCUUUCUUUCAUGCAACAGCUCAAUUAUUACUAUUUCGUAAAGGAGCUUGGAAUUAUAGAAAUAGCUGUUGCUUUGGCAAAGAUGCAGGUGUUUAGUGUCACACAUUCAUAAUAGCACAGCUUGCAUUACAUUCUGCAUCUUAGAGUCAUUAUUAUUUAGCUUCACAGCAUGCUUAUUCUUGGCAGGAAGCAUACUUUGCAAGUGCAUAAAUUAUCAUGUUAAACCAAACUAUGGCUUGUGAUUGUCAUAGUUUAGGACCAAGCCAUGGUUUGAACUUUGGAAUAUACAAGUCAAUCAUGGUUCAGAGCUGCUUUGUUGGCUUCUGUUUUCUGUCAGCUUAGCACUAAGUAUGAUUUGUCAGUUAAGUGAAGUAUCCUGCCAAGUUGUUCUUUGGAAACCCACUUCAGACUAUGGUUUCUGAUUCUGGCUUGCUGACCAAUUGCAAAUAAUAGCUUUAUCUGUUGAGACUAAACCAUGGUAAAGCUCAUUAAACUUGGUUUGCUUUAAUGCCUAAAGCUUAUAUGCAAAGAGGAAGUGUUAGCCUUCAUCCUGGAUUUUCUGAAAGUGAAGAUUGUGAGGGCACCUUUUUCUUGGGAUUUUUAUCUUGCUGGAAAUUUGGUUCCUUGUGGAGGCAUUGAGUACUAGAUGUGUUGAUUUCCUUGUAAACUAUUUAAUUGAAUCAUAGAAUCAUAGACUCAUAGAUUUGGAAGAGUCCACAAGGGCCAUCCAGUUGUCCCCCCUGCCAUGCAGGAAUGGUUAUGUCAAUAGUUCUUUUUAAAGUGUAAUUAAUAAUUAACAAACUCAUUUUAUUAUGCUGUGUUCUGCUUUGUGUGACACACGGCUAACAGAGAAUGAAGUAUAGAAAUCUUAAAAUCCAUUAAAGUUAGUUGAAUCUUUGUCCAACAUAAUAUGAAGUAGGGUAGAAUGAUACCUCUAAAUUAUUUAUGACCCAUAUCAUGAUCUGUUUAUAGAAUUGCAUUUCAGGUUACACUUAACUCUGAAAUUGUGCUGACGUUCAUUAUAAAUACUGUUUUCCGUACAGCGUUCAGAACUGUGUAUAUUUAUGUAUUUUUAAUGAUUUGAAUUUUCAAGAAAAGUUGUCAUGUAAUUUCAAACUGACUAUGGCACUUUUAAAGUUAGUAAAGUAAUAGAGGAAAAUCUUUCACUUUUAAUUACAUGCUUUUUAGGAAAGUCAACCACGAAAAUGAUGUAAAGGUUAACUGUCAAUGUGUGGCGUUGUGCCAUAUCUUUCGAGUAUUGAAAAUAACCUAAAUUGUUACAGAGAGAGCAAGAGAUCUUGUUAAAUAACAAUAUUUGACAGGAGUGCAUUUUAAAAUGCCAGCUUUAAACAAUGAACUUCUCCAAAUCUCCUUUUUCUUUUCUUUUUUAUAUGUGAUAUUUUAAUGCAUCAGUAAUGUGUUGAACAUCUCCAGUUAUGAAAGCGAACUCUUCAGCAAAUAAUUAUUUCUUUAUUGGGUUUUGCCUUUAAAAAAUGACACUGAAGGUGACUCAUAAUAACAAAUAAAAGAAGAAUACAAUUUCUUUUUUGAAAAUGCAAGAGCAACUGUUAAUAUAAAUUAAGCAUAAUUAAAAUACAACACUAGGUUGGUAACAAGCCUCUUCCUCAACAGGCAGUGAAUUGUCAAAGUCCUGCCCAAAUAGAAGGAGCUUUAUUUGCCAAUGGAAGACCAACAUGGAGAGGGCUAGCCUCGUCUCCUCUAGUACUGAGUUUUAGAGUGACUUUGUGAGAUCCACCUGUCCCACCACUGCCACCAGAUGGGAACGGAAGUCUGCAGAUGGAAGUUUGAUAUUUGCAAAUCUUGUUGUUGGAGAAGAAGGCUCUGUGUUGUCCUGAUGGUGGUAGGAGCAAAAAAAGGAGGGCACCAGUUGAAGACCAAAUCCAGAAUGUGCUUACUGAGAAAGAAAAUCUGUGUAUGUUUGAGGUAGACAUGGAAAAGAAGAGUCUUUAACAACAACAACAACAACAACAACAACAACAGCAACAACAACAGCCCCACCUUCCAUCUGCUGGAAUGAAGCUGUCUGACUGGGUUUAAGUUUAGUAGUUCAUACAGCUCUGAUUCUGCUUCUUCUACCUCCAUAGGAUUGCUUUCCUCACAGUUUUUCAGGCUUUGAACAACAUUUUCCUCAAACUCUCCCUAAUUUGUAACUUUUCUAUAGUAGUAGAAAUAUGCAGAGUUGCUAAUGGAAUGGGUCUAUUUUGUUGCCUCCUAAAACAGAUACUGUAUACAUUUUUAUUUCCAAACAUAUACACAACAAAUUUAUAUUUUAAAAAUGCCUCAGUUUCUCUUGUGCCACUGACUGGCAUAAGGUGAAACCUUGUGGAUUGAACUUUAAUCUUAAAUUGUGGAUUAAGCUUUAAUCUUAAAAUAAAAUACUGUGCACCCUAUUAAAGUGAGGCUGCUUUCUGGUACUGUGAAGUGCAGAAUGAAGAUCAAAAUAAUGGUUCGUUUUAUGCUGAACUACAGAAAAUGCAGAAAAUCUGCAAUCAAAGCAGUUUUUUUUCUGUGUGUACUUAUUAAAAAUAAAUAUAUUUGGAUAUCAGUUUUGCUAAAUGUUCUUUCCCCAUUCCCCACAAGCCCUCUCUGUUGGCUAGCUACAGCUAUUACACUUGGCAGGAAAAGUACCAUAGUCUCUUGAUUCAGUAAUGUAAUAGUUCACUUACAGAUUCUAACUGAAAUGAAAAAAAAAAAGCUACAUAGGAAGGAAAAAGUACAUAAUGAGCUUGCAGUAGGAAAUAGUCAUUGCAGGUUUAAUCUCAGAUUUUUGUAGCAAAACUGCCACCUUUAACAUUUUAUUUAACUCUGUUAGCACCUUGCUUCUCCUGAUCCUGAGGGGGAGACUGAUUAAGCUUUUCUAUUUAUAUGCUUUUUAAAAUCCUUAGGAGUGAGAAGGAAUGUAAUAAACAUGAGUAAAUUAUUUACAUGGGAAUAACAUUUACAAUAUGGUUGGUAUAACUUGGGAUGGGUUGCUUAGUUUCCAGCAGGUAAUUUAUGAACCACAAUUUAUAAUAAAAGUAGUUCUGCUAUGACUACCACAUGUAAAGAUUUAUUCACAUUAGUUUGCUGUGUAUCUUAAUAUUUGUCUCUCCAAACUCUGACUGGUUAAUAAAGCAAAUACAAUAUUUAUGAAUUCCAAA